ACGGAAGGCAGCAGUGAGGAAUAUUGGUCAAUGGACGGAAGUCUGAACCAGCCAAGUCGCGUGAAGGAUGAAGGUAUUAUGUAUUGUAAACUUCUUUAGCAGUGGAGUAAUAAGGGGAUCGCGAUCCCUGACGCAAGUACACUGAGAAUAAGGAUCGGCUAACUCCGUGCCAGCAGCCGCGGUAAUACGGAGGAUCCGAGCGUUAUCCGGAUUUAUUGGGUUUAAAGGGUGCGCAGGCGGCUUUUUAAGUCAGUGGUUAAAUCGUGACGCUCAACGUCAUCACGCCAUUGAUACUGGAGAGCUUGAUUGCGGUCGAGGUUUGCGGAAUUCGUUGUGUAGCGGUGAAAUGCAUAGAUAUGACGAAGAACACCGAUUGCGUAGGCAGCAGACCAGGCCGUAAAUGACGCUCAUGCACGAAAGUGCGGGGAUCGAACAGGAUUAGAUACCCUGGUA
rnacentral:rRNA from 1 species